CCCUUAGAUGUUCUGGGCCGCACGCGCGCUACAAUGGCAAACUCAGCGAGUCUCCUUUACCGACAGGUAUAGGAAAUCUUUUCAGUGUUUGCCGUGAUGGGGCUAGACCCUUGUAAUUAUUGGUCUCCAACGAGGAAUUCCUAGUAAACGCAGGUCAUUAACCUGCAUUGAUUACGUCCCUGCCCUUUGUACACACCGCCCGUCGCACCUACCGAUUGGAUGGUCCGGUGAAGCCUCGGGAUUGUGGUUCUUGCCGCUUUAUUGUGGCGUGACCGCGAGAACUUGUCUAAACCUUAUCAUCUAGAGGAAGGUGAAGUCGUAACA
rnacentral:rRNA from 1 species